rnacentral:lncRNA from 1 species
CUGUUCCCGCGCUGAGCUACAGGACUCCCGAGUGUGAGCCGCGGUUCCUCUGUUGCAGCGCAGCCGUGUGUGCUGUGGAGCCGAGGCCGUCCUGCAGGAAGCCGCGUGACUCCCGCCUCCUCCCUGUGCUCUCUGGCUCUGGACUGUGACUGCGCCUGGAUUCUGCCAUUGCGACACAUUUUUGUGCCUUUCAGCCCCUGGUGUCUGCAGUGGGGGAUUUAAGGCACCCGCUUCCACUUCUUUCUUGUUUGGAGUUUUCUGUUGGAACCGCCGGCGUUGGCUCCGAAGACUUAGCGACGCCACUGGCGGCACCUUCUCCUGCGCCCAGUGAUGUUUCCACGGUGCCUGUACACAGCCGAGCAGCAUUUCCGUUGAAGGACUUGCAUCCCCAUUGCGGGCAGUGCUGGACGUGUCCCGGAGACCCACCGGGAGGGCGCCGCCAUGCCUUGUACCCCCACCGUGCAGGUUGUGGCCGGUUUUCUCCGCAGGUUGAACAUGGAAAUAAAAGCAAACUUGUAUGAAAAA